ACACGCUUUGUCUCUGUACCAGUGCAGGCAAGAAGAACUGGGUCGCAGGAAACAUCAUACACGUUGUAGCAGGCAGGACACUUAAUGCCAUUGGGUACUGAGGAUUCCUGAGGCACUGAAUGAAGAAAGAAAAUUUUCAUCUCAAAGAAUCUGAAGAAGCACCUUGAGUGCUUUCUGAGUGCUGAAGCAGCCUUGCACCCCGGGGAUAAAGCCCACCGGGUCAUCAUCUGAUGAAUGAAGCCCAUCGAGUGUUCUCCGAGUGCUGAAGCAGCCUUGCACCCUGGCGAUUAACCCCACUGGGUCGUGGUGAGUAACUUCUUAAUAAUGUCCCGUUGCAUCCUGUUGGGUCGUAUCUUGUGGAGAAGGUGUGCAUCUGCGUUCAUCAGGGACAUCGGUCCAGGAUUCUUCUUUUUGGUGGGUUCUUGGGUUCUGGAG